UAAUACUCCAUAGAUUAGAGAAACUGGAAUGUUCUUUAAUCGAAAGUUCCGGCGCCAUAGGAUGGAUCUGCGGCCGAUUAGGUAGUUGUUGGGGUAACGGCCCAACAAGCCUGUAAUCGGUACGGGUUGUGGGAGCAAGAGCCCGGAGAUGGAAUCUGAGACACGAUUCCAGGCCCUACGGGGCGCAGCAGGCGCGAAAACUUUACAAUGCAGGAAACUGUGAUAAGGGAACCCCGAGUGCCCGUAUACGCGGGCUGUCCAGGUGUCUAAAACGCAUCUGAAGAAAGGGCCGGGCAAGACCGGUGCCAGCCGCCGCGGUAAUACCGGCGGCUCGAGUGGUGACCACUUUUAUUGGGCUUAAAGCGUUCGUAGCUGGACUCUUAAGUCUCUUGGGAAAUCCCGCGGCUUAACCGUGGGGCGUUUAAGAGAUACUGAGAGUCUAGGAACCGGGAGAGGUAAGAGGUACUUCGGGGGUAGAAGUGAAAUUCUGUAAUCCUCGAGGGACCACCGAUGGCGAAGGCAUCUUACCAGAACGGCUUCGACAGUGAGGAACGAAAGCUGGGGGAGCGAACGGGAUUAGAUACCCCGGUAGUCCCAGCCGUAAACGAUGCGCGUUAGGUGUAC
rnacentral:rRNA from 1 species